rnacentral:rRNA from 1 species
AACGAACGCUGGCGGCAUGCCUAACACAUGCAAGUCGAACGAGACCUUCGGGUCUAGUGGCGCACGGGUUCGUAACGCGUGGGAACCUGCCCUUAGGUUCGGAAUAACUCUCCGAAAGGGGUGCUAAUACCGGAUAAUGUCUUCGGCCCAAAGAUUUAUCGCCUUUGGAUGGGCCCGCGUUGGAUUAGCUGGUUGGUAGGGUAAAGGCCUACCAAGGCGACGAUCCAUAGCUGGUCUGUGAGGAUGGUCAGCCACACUGGGACUGAGACACGGCCCAGAAUCCUACGGGAGGCAGCAGUGGGGAAUAUUGGAAAAUGGGCGAAGGCCUGAUCCAGCAAUGCCCCGUGAGUGAUGAAGGCCUUAGGGUUGUAAAGCUCUUUUACCCGGGAUGAUAAUGACAGUACCGGGAGAAUAAGCUCCGGCUAACUCCGUG